GACGAACGCUGGCGGCGUGCCUAAUACAUGCAAGUCGAGCGAGGACGAUUGGUGCUUGCGCCCAUGUGUAGAGCGGCGGACGGGUGAGUAACGCGUGGUUAAUCUACCUCUGAGAGGGGGAUAACAUUGGGAAACCAAUGCUAAUACCGCAUAAUAUCUUUAAACAUAAGGUUCAAGCGUGAAAGAUGCUAUUGCAUCACUUAAAAGUGUUCCCGCGUUGGAAUAGCUAGUUGGUGAGGUAAAGGGUUAACAAAGCGAUGAUACGUAACCGACCUGAGAGGGUGAUCGGCCACAUGGGAACUGAGACACGGCCCAGACUCCUACGGGAGGCAGCAGUAGGGAAUCUUACGCAAUGGACGAAAGUCUGACAGAGCAACGCCGCGUGAGUGAUGAAGGUGUUCGGAUCGGAAAACUCUGUUGGUAGGGAAGAACGAAAGUGAGAGUAGCAAGGAACUUAAUGACGGUACCGUAUCAAGAAGCUCCGGCUAACUUCGUG
rnacentral:rRNA from 1 species